CUGGGGAGAAGUCUGCAACCAACGUACAUGCCCUUGAUCAAAACCAAACCCCGGACCCUUUGGUCUGCAAGCUGACGCUCUAUCCACUGAGCCAAACCAGCUAGGGCUGGUUUUUUUUUUUUUAAUCCUCACUCUGAGGAUAUGUUCCUUGACUCUAGGGAGAGAGAAAUGGAGAAAGAGAGAAACAUCAAUGUGAUAGAGACACAU